rnacentral:rRNA from 1 species
UCGGAUGAAGGCUUUUGUGACUGAGCGGCGGACGGGUGAGUAACGCGUGGGCAACCUGCCUUACACAGGGGGAUAACAGUUAGAAAUGACUGCUAAUACCGCAUAAGACCACAAAACUGCAUGGUUUUGUGGUAAAAACUCCGGUGGUGUAAGAUGGGCCCGCGUCUGAUUAGGUAGUUGGUGGGGUAACGGCUCACCAAGCCGACGAUCAGUAGCCGACCUGAGAGGGUGACCGGCCACAUUGGGACUGAGACACGGCCCAGACUCCUACGGGAGGCAGCAGUGGGGAAUAUUGCACAAUGGGGGAAACCCUGAUGCAGCGACGCCGCGUGAGCGAUGAAGUAUUUCGGUAUGUAAAGCUCUAUCAGCAGGGAAGAAAAUGACGGUACCUGACUAAGAAGCCCCGGCUAACUACGUGCCAGCAGCCGCGGUAAUACGUAGGGGGCAAGCGUUAUCCGGAUUUACUGGGUGUAAAGGGAGCGUAGACGGCUCUGCAAGCCAGAUGUGAAAGCCCGGGGCUCAACCCCGGGACUGCAUUUGGAACUGUGUGGCUAGAGUGUCGGAGAGGCAGGCGGAAUUCCUAGUGUAGCGGUGAAAUGCG